rnacentral:lncRNA from 1 species
GAAGGUCUUUCAUCUCCGCCCUUGGCCCCCGGGCUCCUGCAUCCCAAAGCCCCGCCUGAUGGUCCUGCCCUGAACCUGAGUGUCCUCAGAGUUUCCCUGCUCCUCCCUGGACUCCUGGCCAUAGAGUCUCAAGCUGUGGGAAAGCCAGACCCAGCCCUAAUCUGUUGUUAACAAACACUCUUAUAAAACACGAUAAAAACACCCCGGCCAUGCCAAAUUGCCAUAAAAAUUUCUAAACACGGCAUUUUCAGGAUUUAAGGGGUGUAAUUAAAAUAUAUGGCCACCCUUUUUCUGUUUUGGGAGCCAAAUGUUUAGUAGUACUAUGAAAAUAUACAAGGGGUGAUCAAAAUAUACAGCAAAUAUUUACAUUAAAAAUUUUAUUACAGGGGCCGGGGAUUUAGCUCAGUGGUUCUGGCACCUGCCACGCAAGCACAAGGCCCCGAGUUCGAUCCCCGGUACCAAAAAAAAAAUUUAUUACAGUAAAAACACAUUAUCAUGAAUCCUUCUCAAAAGCCUCCCCUCGCUUCACACACACUCAUCCCAUCAUCCUGGCCACUCUCUGAUGCAGCUCUGGAGUCCUCUGUCCUGAGAUCUGUGAGCUGUGAUCAGUGACUGCUGCUGCGGAGCACCAUCCAGCAGAAAGGCAGCUCGUAAAAACACGAUGCUGUGUCCUCAUGCAUCUCAGUCACCAGAUCUGGCACCGUGUGACUUCUGGGUCUUCCCCAAAGUCAAAAUGACCAUGACAGGGAAAUGUUCUGAAUCCAUUUAGGACAUCGAGGCAGCCAGGGCAGCGCAGCUAAAGACACUCAGGAAAGAGGGCUCCAGAGCCACUUCAUAAAGUGACAAGGACGACGGGAUGAGUGUUUGAAUUGAAAGGGAGGAUUCCGGGAGGGAUUCGUGGCAAUGAGUCUUCUACUGUAAUAAACUUUUUUUACUGUAAACAUUCACCAUAUUUUUGAUCAUGCCGCCCAUCUGAGCACAUCCUCUAGGCCUCAGCCGAGCAGCCCCUGGGGUCCCCAUCUGGAACUCGUCUUUGCAGGUCACAUCCCACGCCAACACCCAACUCUUCCGGCUGUGUGGACAGAUCUGCUAAUGCCAUUUCAUAAACAAGCCGCUCUUUCUGCAAGAAUGGAGAUGCUACUUUACCCCACAGGCCAAGCAGUUAAUGGGCGUCCAGAGAUGACGAUCCCCGCCUCCCCGCCCUAGGCAGCCAGCGGGUGUGGACAAAGGCGACCUUUGGGCAGAGUUAGCAGCCCUCUGGCUCCAGAGAGUUGGAAAAGGACAACCCAUUGAGCUUCCAAGUCACAGGAAAUGCACCCCCGGGAGGGUACA